GAUGCUGGACUCUGAUGACCUCACCUUGUUUUUUGAGAAACCAAUUGUGCAUCUGGUAGAACCACUUCAACAGGAGGGUAACCUAUGCCAGCUGAAAGCACCUCCACCUCUUACUGACUUUCCAGAUACUCAGGAUGCACAGAAGGAGGCGGAGUCUCUCUCCUCACGAUCCAGUUUCUCUCACGAACAAACAGUUCUCCAACCUAUUUCAAAAGGAUCAGAUGGUUCCCACACGUAUUCAUCAAAAGUCAACAGUUUAAGCUUUUACAGUGAUCAGAUUGGAAAUGAGGAGCUCCAAGGUCUCAGCAACCCAAGAGGAUGUGACAGCUUUUGGAUGAGUUCAAGUUUUAGCCAUUGCUUUCUGAAAGAACGUCACAGUGGCAGAGAUGCAGAUGAAACUCUGCAGCACAACUAUCCACCUUUUGACUGUGUCCCAUCUUUUCGCAAAAGUUUAUUCAAGAGGCCAGAGAUGACCAUCAGAAGUGACUCAUCCACCAAGAAUGACCCAGAGACCAGCAGCAGCCAGACAGCAUCCACACCUGAAGUUUAUAGAAAUCAGCUUCCUCUGGGCUUUUCUGCACCAAGUGGUCGACUCCUGCAGGCGGUGCAACGCGCAGAAACACAGAGCGCAAGGAGAGCGGUGGUUCCCCCCAUGACGCCUGAGCCGCUGCACAUUCCAGGUCUCACACAGCACUGGAACAGCCACGGAGAAUCGCUGCAGCUUCUGUUGGCUGUUUACAAUUGUGUCACUACCGUAGCUUCUGUGAAGGGUUAUCAUUAA
rnacentral:lncRNA from 1 species